AAAAAAAAAAAAAUAAUAAAUAUUAUGUUCUAAGUUUUUUGCAUUAGAAAAUAUAACAGAAGAUAUUUGUUUGAAAAGUAUAGUUAUAGUAAUAUAUCUAAAAUUUUCAUGCAAUGUAAUCAUAUGCAUAUAAAAGUGAAACUUAAAUAAAACAGAGACAAGUGCAAAAGAGGAUUUUGUAUUGAAUUUUCAUAGUAACAGCAAUACAAUAGUUCAUUCUUCUUUGACAGAGCAAUAAUGGAGGCUUCUCAAUUCACUCAUUCAAUACAAGUAAAAUAAAGUAAGAAACAGAAUUUCAGCAACAAUGAUAACUCCUGCCCAAGCAAUGAUGCCAUUGAUUGAUUGAAGUUCAUCACAUGCCUCUCCCUUUUGUUUCUUGGUUCCUUUUUGUAUCAUCUUUAUUGCAGCUUCUGUGAUUUUUUACGAGGAGAAUCCAUGGGUGGCAUUCUUUCCGUGAUUUUCUCCAACCAACUUGGCUCCUCCGCCCAUAUUUCUUCUAGCUCUCUGUUUCCAGAUUCUGCCAUUCCUUUAUUCUUUCGAAAAUACACCCUGAGUGCUCCUGGGCUUGUUUGAUCCCCUGGUGAGCCCACCUUCUUAGCCUGUUUCUUAACAAAAUGAUCAAGAAUUAAUCAGCAUUAGGGAUGCAGAUAAAUAUUUGCAGGAGCUACCAGCCAUGUUAUCUGAAAAAUGAUAGCUCUAGGUGGUGGCUCAUUCAACAAGUCGUAGGUCCCUAUCCCUUAUAUUCAAGCAACGCCAAGCAUAAACAGGCUACCUCAA
rnacentral:misc_RNA from 1 species